AUGCCGGUUCCUCUUGCCCCUUACCCAACCCCUCCUGUGCCCUUCACACCACCGGCUCCCAAUGCAGGGGCUCAAAGCCAACUUGUCUGCUCCGGGUGCCGGAAUCUGCUCAUGUAUCCUGCCGGCGCAACGUCGGUCUGCUGCGCAGUUUGCAGUACCGUGACCGCUGUUCCGGCUCCCGGGACUGAGAUGGCGCAGCUAGUUUGCGGGGGAUGCCACACUCUUCUCAUGUACAUACGCGGCGCCACAAGUGUACAGUGUUCUUGCUGCCACACUGUCAACCUGGCAAUGGAAGCGAAUCAGGUUGCGCAUGUAAACUGCGGGAGUUGCCGAAUGCUGCUCAUGUACCAGUAUGGCGCGAGGUCCGUCAAAUGUGCAGUCUGCAGUUUCGUCACAUCAGUUGGGGCAUCAUCAGGUGCAGAGCAGAAGCCCAGCAACUGA
rnacentral:rRNA from 1 species